AAAGAAAUAAUUAUGAUAAAAACACAUUUUAUAAAACUAUUACAUAGAAGAAUCUUUUUUAAAUUUCCAGUAACUUAGAGAAUUUGGAAAUUUGGAGAACCACAGGUGUCCAGGAAAUUUAAGUAAUAAAAUGGACAGAGUUUGUUCUCUCUGAAGAUAGUAGCCCACGUGCAGCCAGUGACGGCUAAUAGUAUACGGAAGUGCUAGGGAUCUUCGUAACUGGACAAGGUAUGUCUCACUUUUCAGCUCUCUCUGGGUGUGUGAAGACACUAGCUCCUGUGAUUUGUAGUAAGAUACUGAAAUGCAGAUUUUUAUCUGAAAUUUCAACAUUGAUAGAGCACUGAAAUGUGAAGUAAGGGGCAGAACAAAUUUAACCCGUGCUAAUGUAAUUUCAGCACUUAUACUACCACUCUAAAAUGUAUUUCAUGGCCUCUGAGAGCAUUGUUUCAUAUGGAGGAGCAAGAUCUUUCCUAACUGGUGGUGGAAAGCUCGAGGGAAGGACUAGACAUCCAAAUCUUUGCAAUUGACACGGAAAGCCACCUGACUAAAAUAUCAGUUAAUAUUCCACUAAGUAGACCUCGUUCUAUUUUAAGCUGCCCCGUGCCAGCAGGACUGUGGCCUCAUAGUGUGCACAGGUGUGAAAGGUUACCGGUUACCCAGACGCUGUGACUGUUGUGCCUAAGUUCGCUUGUGAGUUGCAAACUUUGCAUGCAGAGGCAGUUGCUGGACCUUUCGUGGAAUCUCUUCUAGGCGUCACAUUCCAACCACAGCAUAAACAGAUGUCAUUGGCAAAGUACCUUAAAGCAUGAAAAUUAAACACAGCCAUACCUUUAUACAACAUACACAAUAAGAAAGAAUUGGAAAACUUUGUAUGUUUCUGCUGUCUACAGUGUGUAGGACACCAGUCAAGUGUAUAUCUUAGUUUAGAAAAAUCACUUGUCCAGGGUCGCCCGUGGUUGCUGGUGAGUGGGCAGAGCUGGCACUUGAAGCCAGGAAGCCUGACUCCUGAGAACGUGCUCCUCACCAUUGCUGGCCUGACUCCUGAGAACGUGCUCCUCACCAUUGCCUGCAGUGGUCCCCUUCAUCUUUGUGCCCUGUCCUCUCACACGUACCAUGUAGUCCAUAUUGUGUUACCAGUAGUGGAGAGGACGUAUUACAGCUCAAUGCAAAUAGCAGAUUUAUACCACCAGCGUUUUGCAUUUUGAUAUGGUCCAUACCGAUGAGAAGCUUGUGCCUGUAGAACCAAAGGAAAUCUCCUUGGAAGAAUUAGAAGUAACGUGUGAUUAAUAAUGAAUAUAUGUAUGUAUUUUAAAAGUAGGGUUGUGCUAAAUGUGAAAAGUCAAUAAAUGCCUGUUAACCUUCUCUGAGGUCAACUGUUGGCCGGGUGGCUGGUUAUGCAGGGCAGCUUGAGCAUCUGCAGCCUAAUUCAGAACUGCCCUCGGAUCUGACAAUGCUACAUGCAAUUAGGAAAAUGUCUCUG
rnacentral:lncRNA from 1 species